rnacentral:rRNA from 1 species
AGGGGUAUAUAGUGCUUGCACUAUAGAGACCGGCGCACGGGUGCGUAACGCGUAUGCAAUCUACCUUAUACAGAGGAAUAGCCCAGGGAAACUUGGAUUAAUGCCCCAUAGUAUCAUUAAGUAGCAUUACUUGAUGAUUAAAGAUCUAUCGGUAUAAGAUGAGCAUGCGUCCCAUUAGUUAGUUGGUAAGGUAACGGCUUACCAAGACAGCGAUGGGUAGGGGCCCUGAGAGGGGGAUCCCCCACACUGGUACUGAGACACGGACCAGACUCC